GGCUGGGUAGCUCAGUCAGUAGACCAUGAUACUCUUAAUCUUAGGGUAGUGGGUUCAAGUCCCAUGUUGGACU